rnacentral:lncRNA from 1 species
AACAUAGUGCAUUUUCAAUUAUCAGACAUUAUAAUUCUCAUCAUUAAGUUUUUCACCUUUGUUCAAGUCAAUUAUGAUAUUUGGUGAUGCCAUAUUUAGUGAUAAUUACAUAGAGAUAUUGUUUCCAAAUAAAUAACUAGCAUUAUAAAUGAAUCAGUACAUAUGUAUUAAUUUGUCAUAAGAAACAUACUAAAUUAAAGAUAGCCUAACACA